UACGGAGGGGGUUAGCGUUGUUCGGAAUUACUGGGCGUAAAGCGUACGUAGGCGGAUCAGAAAGUAGGGGGUGAAAUCCCGGGGCUCAACCUCGGAACUGCCUCCUAAACUCCUAGUCUUGAGUUCGAGAGAGGUGAGUGGAAUUCCAAGUGUAGAGGUGAAAUUCGUAGAUAUUUGGAGGAACACCAGUGGCGAAGGCGGCUCACUGGCUCGAUACUGACGCUGAGGUACGAAAGUGUGGGGAGCAAACAGGAUUAGAUACCCUGGUAGUCCA
rnacentral:rRNA from 1 species